rnacentral:rRNA from 1 species
GUAGUGGCGACGGGUGAGUAAUGCGUAGGAAUCUACCUAGUAGUACGGAAUAGCCAUUAGAAAUGGUGGGUAAUACUGUAUAAUCCCCGAGGGGGAAAGAUUUAUCGCUAUUAGAUGAGCCUACGUUAGAUUAGCUAGUUGGUGAGGUAAUGGCUUACCAAGGCUAUGAUCUAUAGCUGGUCUGAGAGGACGAUCAGCCACACUGGAACUGAGAUACGGUCCAGACUCCUACGGGAGGCAGCAGUGGGGAAUAUUGGACAAUGGGCGAAAGCCUGAUCCAGCUAUGCCGCGUGAGUGAAGAAGGCCUUCGGGUUGUAAAACUCUUUCAAUAGGGAAGAUAAUGACGGUAACCUAUAAGACCG